rnacentral:tRNA from 2 species
GGGCCUGUAGCUCAGUCUGGAAGAGCACCUGGCUUUUAACCAGGUGGUCGCGGGUUCAAACCCCGUCGGGCCCG